rnacentral:rRNA from 1 species
GAUUCGCCAUGCACUGUCAGUACAUACUGAAUUAAAGUGAAACCGCAAAGGGCUCAGUAAACCAGUUUUAAUUUACUAGAGUUUUACACGUUUCGUACGUGGAUAACUGUGGUAAUUCUAGAGCUAAUACAUGCAUUUAAGUCCGGCCCAGAAAUGGAAAGGACGCUUUUAUUAGAUCAAAACCAUUCGCCCGGCUUGUUCUGGGCGUUGUUUUGGUGAAUCUAGAUAACACUUGAGAUCGUACAGUCACCGUACUGACGACAUCUCUUUCAAACGCCUGACUUAUCAGCUGUCGAUGGUAGACUCUGUGUCUACCAUGGCCCUCACGGGUAACGGGGAAUCAGGGUUCGAUUCCGGAGAGGGAGCCUGAGAAACGGCUACCACAUCCAAGGAAGGCAGCAGGCACGCAAAUUACCCACUCCCGGCACGGGGAGGUAGUGACAAAAAAUAACGAUACGGGACUCUAUUGAGGCCCCGUAAUCGGAAUGAGUACACUUUAAAUCCUUUAACAAGGAUCCAUUGGAGGGCAAGUCUGGUGCCAGCAGCCGCGGUAAUUCCAGCUCCAAUAGCGUAUAUUAAAGUUGUUGCGGUUAAAAAGCUCGUAGUUGGUUCUGCGUGCCGCGCUGUCGGUUCGCCGCCUGUCGGUGUAACUGGCAUGUCGCGGCAUGUCCUGUCGGUGGUGAACGGGAUCCCCGGUGCUGUUAAGGCUUAAUUGCCGAAGCAUGUACCGUGUGUGUUUCCGUUUGCCGAUCUCUCCUACUCCGGUGCUCUUAAACGAGUGUCGAGGUAGCCGACACGUUCACUUUGAACAAAUUAGAGUGCUUAAAGCAGGCUGAAAUAUCUGCCUGAUAGUGGUUGCAUGGGAAUGAUAAAACAGGACCUCGGUUCUAUUUUUGUUGGUUUUAGGAAUAUGAGGUAAUGAUCAUGGUGGACUGGCGGGGGCAUUCGUAUUGCGACGUUAGAGGUGAAAUUCUUG